rnacentral:rRNA from 1 species
CCUACGGGUGGCAGCAGUGAGGAAUAUUGGUCAAUGGGAGAGAUCCUGAACCAGCCAAGCCGCGUGAGGGAAGACGGCCCUAUGGGUUGUAAACCUCUUUUGUCGGAGAACAAAACCCGGGACGUGUCCCGGACUGCGUGUAUCCGAAGAAAAAGCAUCGGCUAACUCCGUGCCAGCAGCCGCGGUAAUACGGAGGAUGCGAGCGUUAUCCGGAUUUAUUGGGUUUAAAGGGAGCGUAGGUGGAUUGUUAAGUCAGUUGUGAAAGUUUGCGGCUCAACCGUAAAAUUGCAGUUGAAACUGGCAGUCUUGAGUACAGUAGAGGUGGGCGGAAUUCGUGGUGUAGCGGUGAAAUGCUUAGAUAUCACGAAGAACACCGAUUGCGAAGGCAGCUUACCAAGCUACUUCUGACGUUGAGGCACGAAAGCGUGGGGAGCAAACAGGAUUAGAUACCCGGGUAGUC